GGGGGGGUGCCAGAGUGGUCGAUUGGGGCCGCCUGCUAAGCGGUUAUCCUCCGCAAGGGGGAUCGCAGGUUCGAAUCCUGUCCCUCCCG
rnacentral:tRNA from 1 species